UACAGAGGGGGCAAGCGUUGUUCGGAAUUACUGGGCGUAAAGGGCGCGUAGGCGGCCUUCUAAGUCGAACGUGAAAUCCCUGGGCUCAACCCAGGAACUGCGUCCGAUACUGGAAGGCUUGAAUCCGGGAGAGGGAUGCGGAAUUCCAGGUGUAGCGGUGAAAUGCGUAGAUAUCUGGAGGAACACCGGGUGGCGAAGGCGGCAUCCUGGACCGGUAUUGACGCUGAGGCGCGAAAGCCAGGGGGAGCAAACGGG
rnacentral:rRNA from 1 species